UAUCCCACUAUCGUGGUUCGGGCAGUGGCACACCGGGGAAGGAACAGGUCUGAUUUGUUGUGCGCUUGUCACUGGCACAUAGGUGCGGGAAGGUUUGCGGUAUCGUUGUAAGCGUAUGGACGGCUCUGGUGGCAUCCGUGACAAAAAUCUCUUUUAGUUAGACAUCACAAACGAAAGGUUUUUGUGAUGUCUAGAAGUGGUGCUUCUGUGACGGUUUGGCAAAGAGUCCUGCCAGUGCUACUGGUGAGUAUGGCAUACAAUGACUUUUGGAUUACCCCUCAUAGCAGGAUAGUCAGUCCUACGUAUGGCGCCACGGUCCAUUCGGGGAUUGAACCCAUGACGGGCAUGUUAUUAAGUCGUACGAGUUGACGACUGUACCAUGAGACCGGCUGACUAUAGCUGCUUUAGUUAUUCGUUUAAGUAAAGGCAAUUUAACUAAGUAAGGUGGAUUACUGAACGCUAGGAAUUAUCGUUUAAAAAAUCUGCAGCGGUUACUCAUCAGCAGCAGAAAGAGUAAAAACCUUCCAACCAUAUUGACAACUGCCGCGACAAUCUGUCAAUACGGCAAAGCGACGAUAACCCUGGACGGAAUGUUUGUAUGAGAUGUUUGCUCCGCUGCUGUCACGUCAUCUGGUCGGUGACCAUUUUCACACGACCCACCACGGGGGAAAUAAGGCUACCUGGUAGACCUGGACCGCAAAGCUGCAUGCCCACUGAUUGCACCAGUAUCGAUGGUGUCAAUCGAUCUCAAUUCCGAUUCCGAUUGGUUCCAGUAGCGGAUCACCCCGCAUGAUGAUGACUUCCCGCAGCGAUACAGAGCCGCUGAGGGCUUCCAUGGAAGUUCAUUGCAGCUUCAGAUCCACGAUCAGAACAACAAGAGACGCAUCAUUUAUCAUCCACUACUUUUGGAGGCUUGGCCUCCAAAGUUAUGAUUGAUACUGAUUUGAAUCCCCGCCACACGUCACCAAGAUCCGAGAGUGUGCACUCGCGCACUGGUCGUCGUUGAAGGAUUUGAAAAGUGGCAGCGAAAGCAAACGGCGACUGUCGAUGGCUGUCCGAGCGGGUCGGAUUUUGUCAUGUUCCGAUUUGACCGGCAUUAGAGCAUUCUCUCCUACUCUCUCUAUCUCUUAUAAUUAAUUCUCUCUCUUUCUCUCUCUCUCUCUCUCUCUCUCUCUUCCUUUCUCUCUCUUUUCGAUUUCGUCUGGUAAUGGACCGGUGUUGGGCGAUUGCACCAGUUUCGAUUGCCUACUGUGCCACUUGUUCGCGGCGUUGUCAGUUUGUGACGCUGUCUCUGAAAGGGUUUGAGAGGUUUCUGCUUGUUUACUACGAACAGGUGAAUACGUUACGGUUGCUGUUUGCUUUUGUAGAGAGAAGGGAAAAAGGAUAAAAGGUCGGUAUGGAAGGGCGGCGUGCUGGUGACUAGUUCUACACCCAUCGCGGCGUUGGCAAGGUAACUCAAGGCUGUUUGAACUGCCCACUGCCCAUUCUUGGUACGGCAAAAAGAGGUACCGGUUAAAAAAAACUUUCGAUCAUGCGGUGGACAAACGAUAAAGAGAUACACAGCGUAGGAUUGAGUAGAACUUGAGCACACACAUUUGCUUAAAAAUUUAAUGCAGGAGAUAAAUGGUUAAAUCUAUGUAGGAUGCGUUUUUAAAUAAUUAUUCACAAUUUUAUCAUUUUUGCAGAUACACGCCUCUACAUCUGUUGAUGCGCGACAUUAAGAAGAAUAUGACAGUAAAAAUUCUCAUACUCUUGAUUUUGUUUUUGUUAAUUGAAUCAUCGUACCGUUUAUGAACUCUGAGUCUAAACUGAGUCAACAAAUUUCCAAACCCAUUCUAGAAUUGUCUGCUUACACUAUCGACCCUGAUAACUGAUUCAUUUUACAGUUAAUAUGAUCUUUUUGUCUCAGUAAUCUGCCCUAAUGUGGUCUACGUGUUGUCAUCUCUGAAAUGUUUGUAAUUGAGUUUGCACUUUUGGAAAUAUACAUCACACAUAAAAUCAUACAUACUGUUGAGACUAACUACUACUUUAAGAAGAAAAUAAAAAUGAUUGAUUGUGUAUGGUUCCAUAAUCACACUUCAAUUAAAUCUGGAUACGGUUUUGCCCAUCCGGCUCUUUCGAACUUACGAAAGCAAUGUCAGAUUGCGUAGACUUCACUGUCGGUGAAUGGCAAUUAUUCCAGCGUCACGAAGGUAAUCAUAC